GAACGAACCAAUCAAGAUGACCCACUGAUUGGGCCACGCAAUGUUUGCUACCACCAAUUUCCCUCCAAUCGACUGACCAAACCUGUGAGGCCACAAAGGAAUUAAAGUAAGAACAACAAAUAUGGUAUGGCAAACUCACUUGUCGCGCAGCAGUAAAUUAUCCACAGUUCCGGCAAAGAAGAGUACACUCGAUAGAUAGACAGUACUUGUGGUGAGAAUGGCGCAAAUUGUGCCAAUUGGAAUACUCUUCUGUGCAUCAGCCAGAUCUCCCGAACGGUUCGAUCCAGCCAUAAUGCCUAAGCAGAGUUUAAUGAUUUAGGCUAAGUGAAGUGUUUGAUUUGAGAAUCGUUUACCUGUCACUGAGGGAAAGAAAAUGCCAAUGAGCAGCGUGAACGAGGUCGUAAUGUCGGCCAUAAUUUGAUUGUACGAUUGGCCACUACCGUUGUCAAUAUCCUCUGAUUUUUGACCAUACGCAAUGAAUUG